rnacentral:pre_miRNA from 1 species
UUGUGACCGUUAUAAUGGGCAUGGACAUAUGAACAAUGCUCUUUAUAACGCUCAUAACC